UUCAGAAUUUUUCCAGUGAGAGAUUGUCCCAUCUUCUCACCUAUAAAAGGGCCUAAGUAAAUGAACAAUAUUUUUAAAUAAUGCUUUUGGAAGAUACAUGGCACCCUUUUGUUUUAUGUCAUCAAGAUGUUGGGCAGAUCAGAUACAAAUGACAGUAAUUUGUCCUAGGUGAUUGAAAAGCAGCUUUACAGUUUCCUUUCCUGAUUCAUGUUUCCAAGACUACCCUGGAUGCCCUCUAUGUUUCUGGCCAGUUUUCUUGUCAGCUUCCAAGGGAAGAUGUGAACCUGGAGCUCAAACCCAAACAAACAAGGAUGGACUAUGAUGGCUGGAGGAGUCUCUGUGUGGAGCCCCUUGCUCAGGCUGGCAGGCAGCUGCUCACCUGAACAGCUGCAAUGAUUUCAGUGUACAGGCUUUCUCCCCAGUGCGAGGUAAGUGCAUAACCUGGUUCAAAUCAUUAGUUAUAAACCCAUGUGCAGGUGAGCAAUAUUUUCUCUGAGGAUGGCAGAUGAUGAGUUAUCAGUAAUUGGAUGCAUCUGCUUAACCCAUGAUUACAGAAGGGUUAUAUGAACUGGCAAUGAGCUCUGUUGGGAUUGUACUCUGUUUAAAACAAGCUAAAAACAUGCACAUGUAAAGCUACCACAGCCCAGCUGAUGCAUGGUAAAUCUUUAACCU
rnacentral:lncRNA from 1 species